UUCUCCCUUUCCUCCUUAAGACCCUUCAAUGCCUCCCUGUUGGCUUCAGAAUAGAACCCAAACUGCUCCCUGUUCUUCCAAAGCCCCUCCUUAUGCAGCCCAUGCCCCUGAGUCCCCGUCAUUCUUUCCCUUUCACACGGUCUGUUCUAGCCCUCACCCACAAGCCACAGUCCUGCUCACCUGCCUCCACACAUGCUUCUCGGUCUUCUUCACUGUCUCUCUUAGCUCAAUUCUUUCUCACCCACCAAGUGUCAGCUCAUGCUUUGCCUCCUCUGUAUGUCCUUCUCUGUCCACCCUUCCCUCAUGGGCAGUCUUUUUUUACCCCUUUCCGUGUUUCGGUGGCACUCUGUGCCUGCAGCUCUCCUGCCCUGCUUGCUUUUGGGUUUUGUUUUGUUUUGUUUUGUUUUUUGUUUGUUUGUUUUUUCUGUCUCUUCGAACCCUAUUGCAGAGCCCAGAGCACAGGAGACCCUCCGUAAGGGAGAGGAAUGAACGAAUGAAUGAAGUACAGGAAUGAAUAAACUAGUCAUCAUCUUUCCUGGUAUACACAAAGGUUUUAGCAUGCAGGCCAUGCUGAUGCCAGAGGGAUGCGAAAGGAAUGGCAACAGCCCUAAUCAAAGAGGUACCUAAGAGAGCUGAGCCCUGAACGUGCUGAGGUUUCCUCUGGUCAGUGCCACAGAGCAGAGAGGAGCCGGGCAGAAGACGUCCUCCACACAGGACCUGAAAGACACAACCCACGUGCACAUUUGGUCAUCAUCGUCGAUGACUAACUGUGACGUAUCUGCAGUCUGUACCUCCAGCUCGGGUCCCACCAUGUCUGCCCUUUGGGGAAUUGUGGCACUUUUCUGUGUUUCAGUCUCCAUCACUGCAACACGAAGGUGCUAACAGUAAUAAGUUGACACAUUUAAGGAGCACAUAGCGUGUGCCAUGGUUCUACUCAGUUUAUCUCCCUUGCACUCCAUGAGGAAGCUACUACCAUUAUCUUCAAUUCAUAGACAAGGAAACUCAGAGGGGUUAUUACGAAAGCCAAGACUGGAAAAUCGGAAACUGUCUGAUCCUACCCCAAGCCCUAAACCACUGACAACCAUCUGACUGUUUCUGUGAAUCCUCCUUGGCUAAGCCCAUUCACACCCAUCCACACCAUACCUGUAGCCCCCCGGGCCAGUGCCACCUCUACUAUUUUACCACACCUGAACUGUAUAAUGUACCAUGUUCUUGUGUUAUUUAUUGUUUCUCUUUCUCUUCUCUAGAAUGCGAGCUCCCCAAGGGCUGGGACCUGUUUUAUUCCCAAAUGUAUUCCCAACACUGAAGAAGAGCCUGAGACUAAGUAGGCGUUCCAUGACUGUUGAGUGAAUGGAGGACACUGAUGUCAAAUUAGAAGUAUGACCCAGCGUGAGGGACUCCAUAUAAUCUCCCAGAACCCCAGGAGAGACCCCAGGAGAGCCCUGGAGUGUUACCCAUUCCCCAGCACCUGACACCAGAGCUCCCAUCAGCGGUCACCAGCAGUCUUCAGCCUUGACGGCUUGCACCCUUCAGCACUUCACUCCAAGAGGCUGGGUGUGAAAACGCUUGAGGGCAAACAGCCAGCAAAAAUGACUGCUAGUAUUAUUUUCCUUGGGGCUGAUUGGGGGAGGGGAGUAUGUACGGCGUCUAAGCUCCAGACCUGAGCUUCCCUGAAACGACGGCUGAGUCUGAGCUCACUGACACUGCUGUAAGGUGUCAGAGGGAGAGACAUCUCCCACACUGAGGAGAUCAGACUCUCGGAGACCUUCCUUGGCCCACAUGUGAAACCCAAUACCACCAGCGACACAGGCACCCUCCUCUUGCUUGAGAACAAACAGCAGAAUGUUCCAUCGUAUUUGAUGGGAGGAGAGGGAGUGUAAAUUUCACUAUGAAUUGAUAACACUUAGUCAGCCUGCUUCUAAAGCAAGGGGUUUGCAAAAUUUCCCUGAGGACAAGCCCAGGAAAUGUGUUGACCUGGUUUCACACACAGGCAGAUCUCCAGAUCUGAAGGUGGGGUCAUCAGCAGCCACUGAAGAGGACACAGCCCUGUGACUCUUGUCAUCCCCAGGAUGCUGACUGCGGGCACCAACUACACGUUGUAACGGCAGGCUCCCAGGGUGGUCGUCGGGGUCAGUAGAAGGUUUAAGUUAACUUUUGGAGAAGUGAUCUGGAGGGACAUACAGUCUGUUUUACACAUUAGAGGUCACAAACCUCAAUGCCUAUCAUACUCAGGUAAUAUUUAAAAAAAAAAAAAAAAAAGGAGCGAACUGGAGUGAUAUGCAGACGCAUAUCCUGUCUAAAUGGGGCGGAGGCUUCUCUGCUCCAGCCAGUCUUUGGUAGGAGAAGUAGGGAGAACUCUAGUUUUUGUCUUGUUUUUAAUUAUAGUUACUUUUUAUGAGACAGCUCCCAAUCUCUAACGGCUGUCAACUAGAAAAAUUUCAAGUCAAAGGAAGGAAAAGUCAGGGGACAGCAGGUGAUGCUCUAUUGUACUGCUGAGCUGUACUGACACUUCACACUGGUAAGCUCACGUCAUCCCGUGGAACUUUCUCAGAGCAAUCUAUCCAUCGCCCCUUGCACAGCUGAAGAAGCUGUGGCCCCAGUGGGUAAAAAUUACUUGCCAAAGCUUACCUGGUGAGUUAAGUGACUGAGAUCAUGAACACACAGGUUGUCCCAACCACAGUCAUUCUCUUUCUUGUUCACAAGGGAACAUUUUCUACUCUCGAUGCCUAACAAUGGACUGAUGGUUUUUGUUAAGUAGUGAGCUCCCUGUUGCUCUGAGCAGUCAAGCAAGGUCUAGAUAACCUUUUCCCAAAAAUGUUAGAAAAGGCAAGUCUCACUUUGAUAGUGAAAUGAGACCAGAUUAUAUGGAGGAUCACUUUUGUUGCUCUGACUCAAUAUUUUUCAAAGCCCAGUAGGCUUUGGCAGAGUAAUCCUUGUCCCAUAGAGUUAGUUGGAGUGGAAUUUAACAUGAAGAGUCUACCUUGAAUGCAGAAUUUUUAUAGCCAAAGACAUGAUAAAAGUUUCGGUGCAAAGGUAGUAUAUUAACUCCUAAUGAUUUGUUUUUGUUUUUGUUUUUUUUUAAAUGGAGACUUCCUUGCUGUUCUCAGUCCUUUGAAGUAUGAGUCUAUGGAUGCAUAGAGAGUUCACCUUACCGUUUCCAGUCUUGUAAAUUGAUGUCAGUGGUACCAAUUACACAUACAAGUAGAUGACAGCCUCUUAGAAGGAAACCAACAAUACAUGUAUACUGUAUUUUAUAUUGAAAUCACUAUAAUUAUUAUUUCUAGAAAAUAAUGUGUCUGAAAAAGGUUGACUAGAAAAUGAAUCAUAAAACAAGAUAAUAAUAUUAAAGAGACCACAUUAAAUUAUUUCUGGAACAAGGUGAGAGAUAGAUAACUAGCUUGCUACACAGACAGAAAUAGCUACGAUAAAAAGUAAAUAUAUGCAGCAAUUUUCAAUAUGCAUUGUUUUUUUUUUCCACAUUUGCUAGUUAAUUCAAUCAAUGCAACCAAUCUGGGCUUUGCUUUGGCCUAAUUCACAGAGAGCCCCGACAUUGUGUUAAGGAUUUUGAUGCCAGGAUCUUAGUUAUUCCUCAAAACAAUUAUGUGAGAGAGGCAUUAUCACUAUUUCUGUUACUAUUCAUAUUAUUCCCUUUUGAGGGUGACAGUCCAGAACCUCAGAAAGGUCUUAUCAAAGCCUUAAUCAAAGGCACUUGGCUGGUUGGUGGUUGAACUAGCCCUAGGAACAGCAUCUUUUAACAAGUCCUACCUCUCCUUUUUUGAUAACAUUACACUGUACCAGAAAAGAAGAAACAUUCUUUUAUUGAAUUUGCUAGUAGUUAUACAUGGAUUUUAAGGCCAGACCAAUAUACAGAAUGACCAGGUUUAACGGAACACUGAGACCAUGAUGAAAGCUGAACUGACUGAUUCUCCGGAGCAAUGCCAUCUCCAGGCUUUCAAGGAAUAUUAUUGAAUGAAGCAAACAGAUGGAAGACGAUCAUCAUUCCCCAGUGAGCGUUUAGGAGAAUCUAUGUGAUGGAAGGACAAACCCAGGCCUCAUCCUUCCGUGCAGGUCCCGUGUGUGUCAGCCAGACAAAGAGACACAGAGAGCAAUGCCUGGGAGGGCCCUGAGUGCAGGCGCUUCUGUCCCUGUACAGUAGGCCCCAACACUGGACUGGAACUCAUGACC